rnacentral:rRNA from 1 species
AGAGUUUGAUCAUGGCUCAGGAUGAACGCUGGCGGCGUGCCUAACACAUGCAAGUCGAGCGAGAAUUCUUUAACUGAUUCUUCGGAUGAUUUUAAAGAGGGAAAGCGGCGGACGGGUGAGUAACGCGUAGGCAACCUGCCUCUCACAGAGGGAUAGCCAUUGGAAACGAUGAUUAAAACCUCAUAACGCCACUCCGGGACAUCCCGGAAUGGCCAAAGAUUUAUCGGUGAGAGAUGGGCCUGCGUCUGAUUAGCUAGUUGGUGAGGUAACGGCUCACCAAGGCGACGAUCAGUAGCCGACCUGAGAGGGUGAUCGGCCACAUUGGAACUGAGACACGGUCCAAACUCCUACGGGAGGCAGCAGUGGGGAAUAUUGCACAAUGGGCGAAAGCCUGAUGCAGCAACGCCGCGUGAAGGAUGAAGGCCUUCGGGUCGUAAACUUCUGUCCUUGGGGAAGAAGAACUGACGGUACCCUUGGAGGAAGCCCCGGCUAACUACGUGCCAGCAGCCGCGGUAAUACGUAGGGGGCAAGCGUUAUCCGGAAUUAUUGGGCGUAAAGCGUGCGUAGGUGGUCCUUUAAGCGCAGGGUUUAAGGCAAUGGCCCAACCAUUGUUCGCCCUGCGAACUGGAGGACUUGAGUGCAGGAGAGGAAAGCGGAAUUCCUAGUGUAGCGGUGAAAUGCGUAGAUAUUAGGAGGAACACCAGUGGCGAAGGCGGCUUUCUGGACUGUAACUGACACUGAGGCACGAAAGCGUGGGGAGCAAACAGGAUUAGAUACCCUGGUAGUCCACGCCGUAAACGAUGAGCACUAGGUGUCGGGGUAGCAAUACUUCGGUGCCGCAGUUAACGCAUUAAGUGCUCCGCCUGGGGAGUACGCACGCAAGUGUGAAACUCAAAGGAAUUGACGGGGACCCGCACAAGCAGCGGAGCAUGUGGUUUAAUUCGAAGCAACGCGAAGAACCUUACCAGGACUUGACAUCCCUCUGACCGGCACUUAACCGUGCCUUUCCUUCGGGACAGAGGUGACAGGUGGUGCAUGGUUGUCGUCAGCUCGUGUCGUGAGAUGUUGGGUUAAGUCCCGCAACGAGCGCAACCCUUGCCAUUAGUUGCCAUCAUUCAGUUGGGCACUCUAGUGGGACUGCCGGGGACAACUCGGAGGAAGGUGGGGAUGACGUCAAAUCAUCAUGCCCCUUAUGUUCUGGGCUACACACGUGCUACAAUGGCCGGUACAGAAAGCAGCAAUGCCGCGAGGCGGAGCGAAUCUCAAAAACCGGUCCCAGUUCGGACUGCAGGCUGCAACUCGCCUGCACGAAGCCGGAGUUGCUAGUAAUCGCGGAUCAGAAUGCCGCGGUGAAUGCGUUCCCGGGUCUUGUACACACCGCCCGUCACACCAUGGAAGUUGGGGGUGCCCAAAGCCGGCAGGGUAAUAUGCUGUCUAAGGCAAAACCAAUGACUGGGGUGAAGUCGUAACAAGGUAGCCGUAUCGGAAGGUGCGGCUGGAUCACCUCCUU